GGCGCGCGGAGCUGCUGACAGGACCUGGUCAGAAGGGGCCCCUUUAGCAGAGCUUCAGCCAGAGCGCCCAGGGCAGCACGAAGCAGCGGCUCGAGGCGCGCACUUACUCCUUCAAGCCCGCUAGGGCGCCUGCCCCGGAGCCCGGCAACUCUCGGCCACGGUCCCCGCAUCCCCCGAGGACCCUUCGCCUCACCUGCGCCUGCCACGCCCCGUCCGGCCGCCGGGAUGAGCGAGCUGAACACAAAAACACCCCCAGCGACCAACCAGGCGUCUGACCCUGAGGAAAAAGGGAAGGCUGGCAGCAUCAAGAAGGCUGAGGAGGAGGAGGAGAUUGACAUUGACCUGACUGCUCCAGAGACAGAGAAGGCUGCCCUUGCGAUUCAGGGCAAGUUCAGGCAAUUCCAGAAAAAGAAAAAGGAUUCCAGUUCCUGAAUGGCCAGCCUUCCCUUCACUCUUCUACUUCCUCUCUCCCCUCCACAGCUCUGGCUCUCACGUGUCUUGUCCCUUCAUCCCUCUGGCCUCUCCUAGAGGCAAGCUGAACCUUUAUAGAUUCUUUUCUCAGGCUCUCUUAAGCCAUCACAGUAGUAGAGACACAGGACUUGAGAAGAUGCCAGUUGACUGUCACUAGGCUAAGGGUGGAUCAGCGUGUUGCAGAGAACAAAAGGUUUUGAGGUUUGACCCUCCCCUCCUCCUAAUGUCAAGGGCAAGAUGGGAAAGCUUUCAGGGUGCAGUGCCUGAGGGUGGGGAGAUGUACUCUGCCAGAUGCAGCACUCACGCUUCAGGUAACACUUUCUGGUCCUUCUGCACCAUCCCUCCCAUCUCCCGUGUUUCAGCCUCAAUGCAACUGUCCUUUCACCUGGGCAGACAUAAAUUAAGGAGCUUGCAGAAUGUGAUGGUGCAUGCCUUUAGUCCCAGAACUUGGAAGAUAGAGGCAGAGGAAUCUCUGUAUGUUCAAGGCCAGCCAGCCAGGGCUACAUAGAAAAAGACCCUGUCUCAAAAAAAAAAAAAAAAAAAAAAAAAAAAAAAACUGCACCUCCCCCCCCAAAAAAAGCAGCUUAAUAAAUUAGUGCAUGCUGAGUAGAUUCCUUCCAAGGAAGGAAAGCAGGUAGAGACAGGAAAACCUUCCUUCAUGGUCCAGUCUGAGAUCAGAGGAGUCAAAGAUGGCAGAAGGCCCAGAGGCCAUAGGCCAGAAAACAUUUAGUUAGGAAGGAAAGAAAAGUAGAGAAGGGAAAGAUGUCUGAAGCUAUUAGUUAAAUUUAACUGUUAAAUAAAUACUACAUGAGGGGCUUUCUGGCCAUUGCUAAUCUGCCUACCUCUUAAUCUACCCCAUCUCUAGUCAUCCCCAGAGCCACAUGAGCCAAGUGAUACCCCUAUAGUUCUCAGCCACCCCACUGUGGAGUCAGGGCAAAAAUAGCCACUGUAAUGUGAUUUUAGCAUGUUUAAUAAUCAUAACAAUAAAAAAAGCCCUCAAAUGGGGCCACUGAACCUCUA